rnacentral:lncRNA from 1 species
UCAUUUGAGCACAAACAACAUUCAUAUUUUGUUAGGUUAGAACACUGUGAAAUACAACAAAAACAAUGAAUUUCUCUAUCCAAAAAUUUCCUGAAUAAUACGCGAAUUAACAAAAACUUGGUGCACUCCACGGCAACACACAUUUGGGAAAAUCAAAUUCUCUAAACAGUCAAUACAAUGAAGUCGGACAUUAUUGGAUUUUGUAAACGACAGAGUAUUGCGCGAACAAAAAAAUAGAUCCGGCAACAUAUCAUCAUGACAGAUAUCCCCGCUUCGAUACUAUAACAUGUAGAUAUUACAUUAGUCACCCGCAACAUUGUCGAUUUGCCUUCUAUCAGUGUUGUUAACUUAGGUCUUCUUCUUCACAUGCACACCAGUGUUGGGAGAUCAUUAAUCCCAGUAGCUUUAUUAAACUCAGAACCCUCGACCCCAUUUUCUUCCAGUUCCAAACCCGAAAAGCCAGUGGCAUCCGGCUCCUUAACCGCUUCACCGGCAGACUCAUUCAUGGAUUUUUGUUGCAGCAACAAGUUCUUCUUGGGUUCCGAUUUCUCAUGACGGCAAAGGAACCCAAAAAUAUACCAGAUACUCUUAUUUAGGUGCGUGUUUGUAUACAUAUAAACACACACUUAUAAAUCUUAUUUGCUAACAAACGCAGUACAUAAAUGAGUAGUGGGUCUGGUUGAAACAAGUUAAUUUUAUAGAAAAAAGAGGAGAAGAGGUGUUAAAUACCUGAAGAAUAGGAAGGAAUCUUAUCUUUUGAAGAAUAUUUCACGCUAUCUUCUUCUUCUUCUAGAAAAAUGCAUUUCCAAAGCCAAAAGCUAACAAAGAAAAUCCAAAUAGGCUUCAGGUUUGAAGAUUCUUCAACGAAUAAGAAAAUUGGAUUGGAAAUUUUGCAUAUCUCUGUAAUAACUGAGAAUAGUUAAAUGGGGAAUUAAGUACGUGGAUUUGGG